rnacentral:rRNA from 1 species
UACGUAGGGGGCAAGCGUUGUCCGGAAUCAUUGGGCGUAAAGCGCGUGUAGGCGGCUGGGUAAGUCCGCUCUGAAAGCCCGGGGCUUAACCCCGGGUCUGCAUUCGAUACGGGCUAGCUAGAGUGUGGUAGGGGAGAUCGGAAUUCCUGGUGUAGCGGUGAAAUGCGCAGAUAUCAGGAGGAACACCGGUGGCGAAGGCGGAUCUCUGGGCCAUUACUGACGCUGAGGAGCGAAAGCGUGGGGAGCGAACAGG